GAAUUUUAUAUAAGUAGAUUAUUUAAUUAAGUUUUAUAAAUAGUUUAAAUUAUAUUUAAUUGGGAGGAUUGUUAAAUUAAAAGAACUUUAAUUAAGUUUUAAAAUAUUAAUUAAUAGAUUUUAGAAUGGUUAUUAAAUUAAAUAAGAAUUAAUUACCUUAGGGAUAACAGCGUAAUAUUUUUAGAGAGUUCAUAUUAAUAAAAAUGUUUGC
rnacentral:rRNA from 1 species